CAAAGCUUUUCUAAGUGUUGAACUCUCUCACAAAUCACCUCUACCUCACUUUCACUCAGACGCCCACUCUUACCUCUACCUCCACCUCACUACUGCAAUCUCAAUCUCUCCGACGAUUGAAGACCGGUGAAGUACCAUGGCUCUCUGGCAUGAAGACCAAGUAAUUCUCCAAGUGUCUGCAGCGAAGAUCAGACGAAGGAUCAGGAAAAGGAGUAAAUCAUCCGAGUCCUCUUUUGUAUUGCAAACAUCCAAGUUCGGAGACAUAAAGUGUUUGGAUAGGUGGGAGUAUAUUGGCGUCACUUGGUUCCUUUCAGCAAAUGUGGUUUUCAAAAUCUGAGUUUGAGGAACAUGGAGCUUCUAAUGUUCAAAGAAAAUGCCCGUAAAGUACUUUACUGGUGCGGACAAUUAUCACAUUAGACAGAAAUUCAUGGAUUUGACUUCACUUUGAUUAGUUCACUGACAGUAUGGGUUGCUCGGUUUUAAUAUCCUGCUUUAUAGGCGCCCAAACAAUGUACUAUAUAUAUAUAUAUAUAUAUAUAUACUGUACCUCUCGCGGAUCGUUGCUAAUGUUGUACAAUUAUGUUACCUGACUUUUAGUUCAGCAAAUUAUACUUGU